rnacentral:rRNA from 1 species
AACGAACGCUGGCGGCAUGCCUAACACAUGCAAGUCGAACGAGACCUUCGGGUCUAGUGGCGCACGGGUGCGUAACGCGUGGGAAUCUGCCCUCUGGUACGGAAUAACUCAGGGAAACUUGAGCUAAUACCGUAUAAUGACUCCGGUCCAAAGAUUUAUCGCCUGAGGAUGAGCCCGCGUAGGAUUAGCUAGUUGGUGAGGUAAAAGCUCACCAAGGCGACGAUCCUUAGCUGGUCUGAGAGGAUGAUCAGCCACACUGGGACUGAGACACGGCCCAGACUCCUACGGGAGGCAGCAGUGGGGAAUAUUGGACAAUGGGCGCAAGCCUGAUCCAGCAAUGCCGCGUGAGUGAUGAAGGCCUUAGGGUUGUAAAGCUCUUUUACCCGGGAUGAUAAUGACAGUACCGGGAGAAUAAGCCCCGGCUAACUCCGUGCCAGCCGCCGCCGUAAUAC